rnacentral:rRNA from 1 species
UACGUAGGGUGCAAGCGUUAAUCGGAAUUACUGGGCGUAAAGCGUGCGCAGGCGGUGAUGUAAGACAGAUGUGAAAUCCCUGGGCUUAACCUAGGAACUGCAUUUGUGACUGCAUUGCUAGAGUGUGGUAGAGGGAGAUGGAAUUCCGCAUGUAGCAGUGAAAUGCGUAGAUAUGCGGAGGAACACCAAUGGCGAAGGCAAUCUCCUGGACCUGCACUGACGCUCAUGCACGAAAGCGUGGGGAGCAAACAGG